rnacentral:rRNA from 1 species
AGAGUUUGAUCCUGGCUCAGGACGAACGCUGGCGGCGUGCUUAAAACAUGCAAGUCGAACGGACUUCUCAUGAAGCUUGCGAUUGAGAAGUUAGUGGCGGACGGGUGAGUAACGCGUGGGCAACCUGCCCCUGAGCCCGGGAUAACAGUUCGAAAGGACUGCUAAGACCGGAUAUUCUUGCGGAGAGGCAUUUUUCUGCAAGGAAAGGAAACGCUCAAGGAUGGGCCCGCGUCCCAUUAGCUAGUUGGUGAGGUAACGGCCCACCAAGGCGACGAUGGGUAGCCGGCCUGAGAGGGUGAACGGCCACACUGGGACUGAGACACGGCCCAGACUCCUACGGGAGGCAGCAGUUGGGAAUCUUCGGCAAUGGGCGCAAGCCUGACCGAGCAACGCCGCGUGAGUGAUGAAGGUUUUCGGAUUGUAAAGCUCUGUCUUCCGGGACGAUAAUGACGGUACCGGAGGAGGAAGCCACGGCUAACUACGUGCCAGCAGCCGCGGUAAUACGUAGGUGGCGAGCGUUGUCCGGAAUUACUGGGCGUAAAGGGCGCGUAGGCGGCCUGUCAAGUCAGAUGUGAAAUCCCCGGGCUUAACCCGGGAACUGCAUUUGAAACUGACGGGCUUGAGGGCAGGAGAGGAAAGCGGAACUCCCAGUGUAGCGGUGAAAUGCGUAGAUAUUGGGAGGAACACCAGUGGCGAAGGCGGCUUUCUGGACUGUAACUGACGCUGAGGCGCGAAAGCCAGGGGAGCGAACGGGAUUAGAUACCCCGGUAGUCCUGGCUGUAAACGAUGGGUACUAGGUGUUGGGGGUAUCGACCCCUCCAGUGCCGCAGUUAACGCAAUAAGUACCCCGCCUGGGGAGUACGGCCGCAAGGUUGAAACUCAAAGGAAUUGACGGGGGCCC